rnacentral:tRNA from 1 species
UUUGGUUCAAUGGUAAAUCAUCUGUCACCUUUACAGAAGUUGUGGGUUCAAGUCCCACAA